GAGAUCAAGCUAUGUCAUCACUACCAAGAUUUUUUGGGGAGGACAGGCAGAAACCGAGCGAGGUUUAAGCCGAAAGCACAUCAUUGAGGAGAUUGUGCGAGCCAUGACCUAUGUCAUCAACCAGGGCCUGGCCCUAUACUGGGGGACAUCCCGAUGGGGGGCUGCAGAAAUCAUGGAGGCCUACUCCAUGGCCAGACAGUUCAAUCUGAUUCCUCCAGUGUGUGAACAAGCGGAGCACCAUCUGUUUCAGAGGGAGAAGGUGGAGAUGCAGCUGCCAGAGCUCUACCACAAGAUUGGUUUGCAGCCCUCAUCCCUGCCUUUACCUUAGCCUCAUCCAUGGCUAGGUCCUUUUCCUGACACCCAGUGUUCUUCCCUUAGGAGUUGGAUCAGUCACUUGGUACCCUCUAGCCUGUGGUCUCAUUACUAGCAAGUAUGAUGGGCGAGUCCCAGAUACUUGCAGGGCCUCCAUCAAGGGCUACCAGUGGCUCAAGGACAAAGUGCAGAGUGAAGAUGGCAAGAAGCAACAAGCCAAAGUCAUGGACCUUCUUCCUGUCGCUCACCAGCUGGGCUGCACCGUGGCCCAGCUUGCUAUUGCGUGGUGUCUCCGCAGUGAGGGUGUCAGCUCUGUCUUGCUGGGGGUGUCGAGUGCGGAGCAGUUGAUAGAACACCUGGGCGCGCUACAG
rnacentral:lncRNA from 1 species